rnacentral:rRNA from 1 species
GAAAGCCUGACGUAGCGACACCGCGUGAGCGAAGAAGCCCUUUGGGGUGUAAAGCUCUGUCAGCAGGGACGAAAAAAAUGACGGUACCUGCAGAGGAAGCAUCGGCUAACUACGUGCCAGCAGCCGCGGUAAGACGUAGGAUGCAAGCGUUGUCCGGAUUUAUUGGGCGUAAAGAGUUCGUAGGCGGUUUGUUAAGUCUGGUGUUAAAGAUCAGGGCUCAACCCUGGGACCGCACUGGAUACUGGCAGACUGGAGUGCAGUAGAGGCGAGUGGAAUUCCCAGUGUAGCGGUGAAAUGCGUAGAUAUUGGGAAGAACACCGGUGGCGUAAGCGACUCGCUGGGCUGUAACUGACGCUGAGGAACGAAAGCCAG